UACGAAGGGGGCUAGCGUUGUUCGGAAUUACUGGGCGUAAAGCGCGCGCAGGCGGUCCUUUAAGUCUGAUGUGAAAGCCCACGGCUCAACCGUGGAGGGUCAUUGGAAACUGGGGGACUUGAGUACAGAAGAGAAGAGUGGAAUUCCACGUGUAGCGGUGAAAUGCGUAGAGAUGUGGAGGAACACCAGUGGCGAAGGCGACUCUUUGGUCUGUAACUGACGCUGAGGCGCGAAAGCGUGGGGAGCAAACAGG
rnacentral:rRNA from 1 species